UGAGGAAUAUUGGACAAUGGGCGCAAGCCUGAUCCAGCCAUGCCGCGUGGAUGAUGAAGGCCUUAGGGUUGUAAAAUCCUUUCGCCGAGGACGAUAAUGACGGUACUCGGAGAAGAAGCUCCGGCUAACUUCGUGCCAGCAGCCGCGGUAAUACGAAGGGGGCUAGCGUUGUUCGGAUUUACUGGGCGUAAAGGGCGCGUAGGCGGCAAUUCAAGUCAUCUGUGAAAUCUCCGGGCUUAACUCGGAACGGUCAGAUGAUACUGCUUUGCUAGAGUGCAGAAGGGGCAAUCGGAAUUCUUGGUGUAGCGGUGAAAUGCGUAGAUAUCAAGAGGAACACCUGAGGCGAAGGCGGGUUGCUGGGCUGAUACUGACGCUGAAGCGCGAAAGCUAGGGUAGCAAACGGGAUUAGAUACCCGGGUAGUCCCUGAGCGGGCUGGCAAGGCGCAU
rnacentral:rRNA from 1 species